GACUCGUCACACUAUCAUUAACUGAAUCCAUAGGUUAAUGAGGCGAACCGGGGGAACUGAAACAUCUAAGUACCCCGAGGAAAAGAAAUCAACCGAGAUUCCCCCAGUAGCGGCGAGCGAACGGGGAGGAGCCCAGAGCCUGAAUCAGCAUGUGUGUUAGUGGAAGCGUCUGGAAAGGCGCGCGAUACAGGGUGACAGCCCCGUACACAAAAGCGCAUGUGCUGUGAGCUCGAUGAGUAGGGCGGGACACGUGGUAUCCUGUCUGAAUAUGGGGGGACCAUCCUCCAAGGCUAAAUACUCCUGACUGACCGAUAGUGAACCAGUACCGUGAGGGAAAGGCGAAAAGAACCCCGGCGAGGGGAGUGAAAAAGAACCUGAAACCGUGUACGUACAAGCAGUGGGAGCACAGGUUUACCUGUGUGACUGCGUACCUUUUGUAUAAUGGGUCAGCGACUUAUAUUCUGUAGCAAGGUUAACCGAAUAGGGGAGCCGGAGGGAAACCGAGUCUUAAUUGGGCGUUAAGUUGCAGGGUAUAGACCCGAAACCCGGUGAUCUAGCCAUGGGCAGGUUGAAGGUUGGGUAACACUAACUGGAGGACCGAACCGACUAAUGUUGAAAAAUUAGCGGAUGACCUGUGGCUGGGGGUGAAAGGCCAAUCAAACCGGGAGAUAGCUGGUUCUCCCCGAAAGCUAUUUAGGUAGCGCCUCGUGAAUUCAUCUCCGGGGGUAGAGCACUGUUUCGGCUAGGGGGCCAUCCCGGCUUACCAACCCGAUGCAAACUGCGAAUACCGGAGAAUGUUAUCACGGGAGACACACGGCGGGUGCUAACGUCCGUCGUGAAGAGGGAAACAACCCAGACCGCCAGCUAAGGUCCCAAAGUCAUGGUUAAGUGGGAAACGAUGUGGGAAGGCCCAGACAGCCAGGAUGUUGGCUUAGAAGCAGCCAUCAUUUAAAGAAAGCGUAAUAGCUCACUGGUCGAGUCGGCCUGCGCGGAAGAUGUAACGGGGCUAAACCAUGCACCGAAGCUGCGGCAGCGACGCUGAUGCGUUGUUGGGUAGGGGAGCGUUCUGUAAGCCUGCGAAGGUGGCCUGUGAGGGUUGCUGGAGGUAUCAGAAGUGCGAAUGCUGACAUAAGUAACGAUAAAGCGGGUGAAAAGCCCGCUCGCCGGAAGACCAAGGGUUCCUGUCCAACGUUAAUCGGGGCAGGGUGAGUCGACCCCUAAGGCGAGGCCGAAAGGCGUAGUCGAUGGGAAACGGGUUAAUAUUCCCGUACUUGGUGUUACUGCGAAGGGGGGACGGAGAAGGCUAUGUUGGCCGGGCGACGGUUGUCCCGGUUUAAGCGUGUAGGUGUGUGUUCCAGGUAAAUCCGGUUCACUUUAACACUGAGGCGUGAUGACGAGGCACUACGGUGCUGAAGCAACAAAUGCCCUGCUUCCAGGAAAAGCCUCUAAGCAUCAGGUAACAUCAAAUCGUACCCCAAACCGACACAGGUGGUCAGGUAGAGAAUACCAAGGCGCUUGAGAGAACUCGGGUGAAGGAACUAGGCAAAAUGGUGCCGUAACUUCGGGAGAAGGCACGCUGACACGUAGGUGAAGUGAUUUACUCAUGGAGCUGAAGUCAGUCGAAGAUACCAGCUGGCUGCAACUGUUUAUUAAAAACACAGCACUGUGCAAACACGAAAGUGGACGUAUACGGUGUGACGCCUGCCCGGUGCCGGAAGGUUAAUUGAUGGGGUCAGCGCAAGCGAAGCUCCUGAUCGAAGCCCCGGUAAACGGCGGCCGUAACUAUAACGGUCCUAAGGUAGCGAAAUUCCUUGUCGGGUAAGUUCCGACCUGCACGAAUGGCGUAAUGAUGGCCAGGCUGUCUCCACCCGAGACUCAGUGAAAUUGAACUCGCUGUGAAGAUGCAGUGUACCCGCGGCAAGACGGAAAGACCCCGUGAACCUUUACUAUAGCUUGACACUGAACAUUGAGCCUUGAUGUGUAG
rnacentral:rRNA from 1 species